rnacentral:rRNA from 1 species
UCAAGAGUACGUGAAACUGCUUAGAGGUUAAGCCCGAUGAACCUGAAUAUCCAUUAUAGAAAAUUCAUCAUUAUGAUUUUAAUAUUUAUAAUAUUAUAAUAAUGGUGUGCAUUUUUUCUAUAAAAGGACAUUGUAAUCUAUUAACAUAAAUUAUAUUUAUCAUAAGAUCAUUUCGCGUAAGUUUAUUCAAAUUAUUUUGCUUGCAAUUUAAUAUCGAAUAAAUGCAUUUGAUUUGAUAAAGUGUUGAUAGAUUUAUUAUAUAUAGUGCUUAAAUAUAUAUACAUAUAUUUUAUAAUAGCAUAUAAAUCAUUGAUUUUUAUGUUUAUUUAUAUGCACUUAUAUGAUUAACAAUGCGAAAGAUUCAGGAUACCUUCGGGACCCGUCUUGAAACACGGACCAAGGAGUCUAACAUAUUUGCAAGUUAUUGGGUAUAAAAACCUAAUAGCGAAAUUAACAUAACUUAUAAUGGGAUUAGUUUUUAGCCUAUUUUUAUAGUCUAUUAAUUCAAUCCCGGGGCGUUCUAUACAGUUAUGUAUAAUAAUAUUUAUAUUAUUUAUACCUCUAACUAGAGCGUACCUUGAGCAUAUAUGCUGUGACCCGA